rnacentral:tRNA from 1 species
UCCCUGGUGGUCCAGUAGUUAGGACUUGGCGCUUUCACUGCAGGGCCCAGGUUCAAUCCCUGAUCAAGGAA